AUGGUAAGAGAACCACCUCCUCCAGGCCACUAAUCUGUCCAAAGCAAUGGCUCAUUGUCUGAGAGGCAUCCGCUACUAGCAUUAGAGCUUGGCUAAGGCCAGGGGCUUUGAGAGAAUAAGCUGUCCCCCCACAUCCUUCCAAAAUAGAAAUUGCUAAAAAUAGCAACUCUUCAGGAGCAGGCCUGGCUGAAAAUAGCCGUUUUCUCAAGGAACAGAGAUUGCCCCUUCUGAAAGAAAUUGCUAUUAAUGGAUAAUUGCCCCUCAGGUUAGCCAGUUCCUGAAACAAAAACAAAAAAAGAGAGGGGGGGGAAUAGCUGUGUACACAGAAUUCUACAAAGAGCCAUGUUCAAAAGAUGGGGAGAUGGACACGACUCGAUUGUUAAGCUGUCCUACAACUUCUCCAAAGACCGAGUGUUUCAAGCAGCCAUGAAAGAUUACAGAUCCACCGGAACAUCGUGAACCAUUUUCUUCCCUGCAACUUGAGCAACAGAGAGUCAUGCAUCCAUGGAAUAUGUAUUUGCAGAGCUUGAGAAUGUAUUUGGAAAACUCAGUUCCAGCAUCCCUCAUCCCAGCUGGAAACUGUGGGAAUUUUGUAAUCCAUAAAAGUAACUUGUUCUGCUUCCUUUUUACACACUUGUAAGCAACGCCUCUCUCUUUGGUUGAUUUGCACACAGUAUUUAUCAACUCCCUAUACUGUAUAAAGCUUAGGUUUUCUCCUCGAAAGGAAGGAGGGACUCUGCAACCCUGACCAGGCCCCCUGCUCGGAAGCAAGCCCCGCUGACUUCCCUUGGGUUUACUCUCAAGUAAAGAGGCGCAGCCUUGCUCUUAUUAACCAGGGACGCGAAAGUAACUUGUUCUGCUUCCUUUUUACACGCUUGUAAGUAACGCCUGUCUCUUUGCUUGGUUUAUUUGCACACAGUGUUUAUCAAUUCCCUAUACUGUAUAAAGCUUAGGUUUUCUCCUCGAAAGGAAGGAGGGACUCUGCAACCCUGACCAGGGGCCCCCUGCUCGGAAGCAAGCCCCGCUGGCUUCCCUCGGGUCUACUCUCAAGUAAAGAGGUGCAGCCUUGCUCUUAUUAACCAGGGACGCAGGGGAGACAAAGAGGAGCGCCUGCCCGUCAGAAGGCGGCCCCGCCCCCGGCUCCGCCCAUCGACCUCCUUCCCGGGAGGCGGGGCUCCCCGC
rnacentral:lncRNA from 1 species